GAUGAACGCUGGCGGCGUGCCUAAUACAUGCAAGUCGAGCGACGCGUGGACGGGUGAGUAACACGUGUAUCACCUCCUUUAAGACUGGGAUAACUUCGGGAAACCGGUGCUAAUCCGGAUUCUUAUAGCUGGUUCCGGACUGCAUUAGCUAGUUGGUAAGGUAACGGGUUACCAAGGCAACGAUGCAUCGCCGACCUGAGAGGAGGAUCGGCCAAACUGGAAAUGAGAAACGGUCCAGACUCCUACGGGAGGCAGCAGUAGGGAAUAGGACGCAAUGGGCGAAAGCCUGACGGAGCAACGCCGCGUGAGUGAAGAAGGUCUUCGGAGCGUAAAGCACUGUUAUUAGGGAAGCGGUACCUAUUCAGAAAGCACCGGCUAACUACGUGCCAGCAGCCGCGGUAAUUC
rnacentral:rRNA from 1 species